rnacentral:rRNA from 1 species
UAGGGGAGUCUUCCACAAUGGACGAAAGUACUGAUGGAGCAACGCCGCGUGAGUGAAGAAGGGUUUCGGCUCGUAAAACUCUGUUGUUAAAGAAGAACAUAUCUGAGAGUAACUGUUCAGGUAUUGACGGUAUUUAACCAGAAAGCCACGGCUAACUACGUGCCAG